rnacentral:tRNA from 1 species
GCCUGGGUGGCUCAGUUGGUUGGGUGUCUGACUUCAGCUCAGGUCUUGACCUCACAGUCUGUAGGUUCGAGCCCCGCAUCAGGCU